rnacentral:rRNA from 1 species
GGGGGAUAUUGCACAAUGGGGGAAACCCUGAUGCAGCGACGCCGCGUGGAGGAAGAAGGUUUUCGGAUUGUAAACUCCUGUCGUUAGGGACGAUAAUGACGGUACCUAACAAGAAAGCACCGGCUAACUACGUGCCAGCAGCCGCGGUAAAACGUAGGGUGCAAGCGUUGUCCGGAAUUACUGGGUGUAAAGGGAGCGCAGGCGGGAAGACAAGUUGGAAGUGAAAACCAUGGGCUCAACCCAUGAAUUGCUUUCAAAACUGUUUUUCUUGAGUAGUGCAGAGGUAGAUGGAAUUCCCGGUGUAGCGGUGGAAUGCGUAGAUAUCGGGAGGAACACCAGUGGCGAAGGCGGUCUACUGGGCACCAACUGACGCUGAGGCUCGAAAGUGUGGGUAGCAAACAGGAUUAGAUACCCUGGUAGUCCAUGCCGUAAACGAUGAUUACUAGGUGUUGGGGGAUUGACCCCCUCAGUGCCGCAGUUAACACAAUAAGUAAUCCACCUGGGGAGUACGACCGCAAGGUUGAAACUCAAAGGAAUUGACGGGGGCCCGCACAAGCAGUGGAGUAUGUGGUUUAAUUCGAAGCAACGCGAAGAACCUUACCAGGUCUUGACAUCCGAUGCAUAGCACAGAGAUGUGUGAAAUCCUUCGGGACAUCGAGACAGGUGGUGCAUGGUUGUCGUCAGCUCGUGUCGUGAGAUGUUGGGUUAAGUCCCGCAACGAGCGCAACCCUUAUUGCCAGUUACUACGUUAAGAGGACUCUGGCGAGACUGCCGUUGACAAAACGGAGGAAGGUGGGGAUGACGUCAAAUCAUCAUGCCCUUUAUGACCUGGGCUACACACGUACUACAAUGGCGUUAAACAAAGAGAAGCAAGACCGCGAGGUGGAGCAAAACUCAAAAACAACGUCUCAGUUCAGAUUGCAGGCUGCAACUCGCCUGCAUGAAGUCGGAAUUGCUAGUAAUCGUGGAUCAGCAUGCCGCGGUGAAUACGUUCCCG